UCCUGGGAGAAGUUCUGCCCUGUCAAUCUGAACUGGGAGAUUUGUCCAGCUGAGGGUCUGUCUGUCCGUCCCUCCAUGGGAUGAUAAUGGACCUUUGUUCUGUAGGCCCACUGCCCCCCACCUCUGCAUGCCUUGGGGGGAUCUCACCCUUGGGCAGCCUGGAUUGUUCCUUAUCCCAAACGUUUCCAGUGAAGAGCACAGACCUUACUCAGCCUUUACUAAACCCUUACCCACAUCUUUGACAGCACUCUCCUAGCUACAAGGAAAAAGCUGUGGGAAUCUGGAGUAUGUCAUGAGCUCUG